AAAAACUCCGGUGGUAUGAGAUGGGCCCGCGUCUGAUUAGCUAGUUGGCGGGGUAACGGCCCACCAAGGCAACGAUCAGUAGCCGACCUGAGAGGGCGACCGGCCACAUUGGGACUGAGACACGGCCCAAACUCCUACGGGAGGCAGCAGUGGGGAAUAUUGCACAACGGGGGAAACCCUGAUGCAGCGACGCCGCGUGAGCGAUGAAGUAUUUCGGUAUGUAAAGCUCUAUCAGCAGGGAAGAAGAUGACGGUACCUGACUAAGAAGCCCCGGCUAACUACGUGCCAGCAGCCGCGGUAAUACGUAGGGGGCAAGCGUUAUCCGGAUUUACUGGGUGUAAAGGGAGCGUAGACGGCGGUGCAAGCCAGAUGUGAAAGCCCGGGGCUCAACCCCGGGACUGCAUUUGGAACUGUAUGGCUGGAGUGUCGGAGAGGCAGGCGGAAUUCCUAGUGUAGCGGUGAAAUGCGUAGAUAUUAGGAGGAACACCAGUGGCGAAGGCGGCCUGCUGGACGAUGACUGACGUUGAGGCUCGAAAGCGUGGGGAGCAAACAGGAUUAGAUACCCUGGUAGUCCACGCCGUAAACGAUGACUACUAGGUGUCGGGCAGCAAAGCUGUUCG
rnacentral:rRNA from 1 species